rnacentral:rRNA from 1 species
AUUGAACGCUGGCGGCAUGCUUUACACAUGCAAGUCGAACGGCAGCGGGGAGGAGCUUGCUUCUCUGCCGGCGAGUGGCGAACGGGUGAGUAAUACAUCGGAACGUGUCGAGAAGAGGGGGAUAACCACCCGAAAGGGUGGCUAAUACCGCAUAAAUUCUGAGGAAGAAAGCUGGGAACCUAGGAAUAGGCCUAGCGCUUUUUGAGCGGCCGAUGUCGGAUUAGCUAGUUGGUGAGGUAAAGGCUCACCAAGGCGAAGAUCUGUAGCGGGUCUGAGAGGAUGAUCCGCCACACUGGGACUGAGACACGGCCCAGACUCCUACGGGAGGCAGCAGUGGGGAAUUUUGGACAAUGGGGGCAACCCUGAUCCAGCCAUGCCGCGUGUAUGAAGAAGGCCUUAGGGUUGUAAAGUACUUUUGUUAGGGAAGAAAAGUCAGCUGUGAAUAAUGGCUGAUACUGACGGUACCUAAAGAAUAAGCACCGGCUAACUACGUG